GAAAUUGAAAUCGCUGUGAAGAUGCAGUGUACCCGCGGCUAGACGGAAAGACCCCGUGAACCUUUACUACAGCUUGGCACUGAACAUUGACCCUACAUGUGUAGGAUAGGUGGGAGGCUUUGAAGCACGUACGCCAGUAUGUGUGGAGCCGUCCUUGAAAUACCACCCUUGUAGUGUUGAUGUUCUAACGUCGACCCCUAAUCGGGGUUGCGGACAGUGCCUGGUGGGUAGUUUGACUGGGGCGGUCUCCUCCCA
rnacentral:rRNA from 1 species